rnacentral:rRNA from 1 species
UACGUAGGUGGCAAGCGUUGUCCGGAUUUACUGGGCGUAAAGAGCGCGCAGGCGGUCGUUUAAGUCGAAUGUGAAAGCCCCCGGCUCAACUGGGGAGGGUCAUUCGAUACUGAUCGACUCGAAGGCAGGAGAGAGAAGUGGAAUUCCCGGUGUAGUGGUGAAAUGCGUAGAUAUCGGGAGGAACACCAGUGGCGAAGGCGACUUCUUGGCCUGUUCUUGACGCUGAGGAGCGAAAGCGUGGGGAGCAAACAGG